rnacentral:rRNA from 1 species
GUACUUGGUGUUACUGCGAAGGGGGGACGGAGAAGGCUAUGUUGGCCGGGCGACGGUUGUCCCGGUUUAAGCGUGUAGGCUGGUUUUCCAGGCAAAUCCGGAAAAUCAAGGCUGAGGCGUGAUGACGAGGCACUACGGUGCUGAAGCAACAAAUGCCCUGCUUCCAGGAAAAGCCUCUAAGCAUCAGGUAACAUCAAAUCGUACCCCAAACCGACACAGGUGGUCA